rnacentral:rRNA from 1 species
UACGAAGGGGGCUAGCGUUGCUCGGAAUCACUGGGCGUAAAGCGCACGUAGGCGGCUUCUUAAGUCAGGGGUGAAAGCCUGGAGCUCAACUCCAGAACUGCCUUUGAUACUGAGGAGCUUGAGUCCGGGAGAGGUGAGUGGAACUCCGAGUGUAGAGGUGAAAUUCGUAGAUAUUCGGAAGAACACCGGUGGCGAAGGCGGCAUCCUGGACCGGUAUUGACGCUGAUGCGCGAAAGCCAGGGGAGCAAACGGG